UUCACGCUUUCAUUCAAGCGUACAAAACCCUAAUUUUGUUCAUCGCCGACAAGCAAAUCUACCACCAUCUCUUUCGAUUUCAUUAACAUCUGCAUUGUUUUGGGUUUUAUCUCAUCUUUUGUGACAAACAAUCUAUGGUGCUGAGUUGAUUGAUUCAGUUCUGGAUUUCCAACGAGCGAUGAUUGAAGUAGAGAUCUCUAAAGCAAUGGUGUGGUAACUCAAGUGGCGGCGGCGGUGGUGGUGGUGCAAUCAUUUCGAUUCAACCAACCAUCUGGAUUCUUGAGCAGAUCGGUUGCAACUAAGACGAGA
rnacentral:lncRNA from 1 species